rnacentral:rRNA from 1 species
AGUGAACGCUGGCGGUAGGCCUAACACAUGCCAGUCGAACGGCAGCACAGUAAGAGCUUGCUCUUACGGGUGGCGAGUGGCGGACGGGUGAGGAAUACAUCGGAAUCUACUUUUUCGUGGGGGAUAACGUAGGGAAACUUACGCUAAUACCGCAUACGACCUACGGGUGAAAGCAGUGGAUCUUCGGACCUUGCGCGAUUGAAUGAGCCGAUGUCGGAUUAGUUAGUUGGCGGGGUAAAGGCCCACCAAGGCGACGAUCCGUAGCUGGUCUGAGAGGAUGAUCGGCCACACUGGAACUGAGACACGGUCCAGACUCCUACGGGAGGCAGCAGUGGGGAAUAUUGGACAAUGGGCGCAAGCCUGAUCCAGCCAUACCGCGUGGGUGAAGAAGGCCUUCGGGUUGUAAAGCCCUUUUGUUGGGAAAGAAAAGCAGCAGGUUAAUACCCCGCUGUUCUGACGGUACCCAAAGAAUAAGCACCGGCUAACUUCGUG